rnacentral:rRNA from 1 species
UACAGAGGUCUCAAGCGUUGUUCGGAUUCAUUGGGCGUAAAGGGCGCGUAGGCGGUAAAGUAAGUCAGAUGUGAAAUCCCGGAGCUCAACUUCGGAACGGCAUUUGAAACUACUUUUCUAGAGGGUAGGCGGAGAAAACGGAAUUCCACAAGUAGCGGUGAAAUGCGUAGAUAUGUGGAAGAACACCUGUGGCGAAAGCGGUUUUCUAGCUUAUACCUGACGCUGAUGCGCGAAAGCAAGGGGAGCAAACAGG